UUGGACAGGCUACCCUGAAAGUUAACAGAACCCAGAUGAUUCCAGCUCUGAGCAUCGCAAAAGCAGAGAGCCACUUUGCAAGUGAAUGGUCAAAUUUGAGUCUUAAGCUGAUGGAACGGGCAGUAUCAGCUUUUGCAUUUUAACUGUAAUGUUUCCCAGGAGCAUUAAGGACAAGCAGACCUAGCUUCCCACUCUCUUUAUCUCAGCUUGCCAGACUCUAUGGGCAGAAAGGCACACUACAAGCCCAAACCUGAAAGCCUUUUGCCCACACUGGGCAGUGUCAGGAGCUCCCGCACUAGUAGGGCUGGGACUUCCAUGGUGAGAAAGCCCAAUCCGGCCUUUAAUCCUCUGCAAGUCACUCAAUCAAUGGAGGCCAAGGCAGGGAAGGAGUUUUCAGAAAGAAGUUAUAGAGCCCAAAAGAUUGGACAAGUUUAACAGAAGGGACCAGAGGAGGGGAGAACAGAGUAACUCAAGAUUUAGAAUAAAGGUGAAAGGGGAGUCUUCCAAUUAAGAGUCCCAAUGCACCAUGCACAGGCCUCUUCACAACGGGAAGGAAGGGACCACAUCCUUCCCACCUCUCAGCCGCACUAUCUCCCCACCCAGUCCAAUUCCCUGCCUCAAUGAUGGGCUUAUAUUGGGCAGGGUUAGGAUUCUCUUCUUCCCAUAGGCUGUCACACUAUAAUAUUUGAUUUGCUUCCUUCCCUUGCAAAGCCUAACAGAUUAGAUUGCCAGAGUCCUAUUCAGCUCACUAAGGCAGAUGGAAAACUGAAAGUAAGGCAACCUAAACUCCUCAUGGUGGGAAGAGAGAAGAGGCACAGAAGCACAAUGUUCCAGCUCCCAGGUCAUCUUUUCCAAGCUCUAGGACUAUAUUGGACAAAGUAAACAACACCCUAGUGGUUUCAAGGAAUGAGAAUACUUACUGUACUGUGGCCCACAGCAAGAUAUAAUAUGAGGUAUUCCAACCUUUUACCAGGGUAUAACCACCUGCUCCAUGAAGAAGCCAGGAAAUCAAUGAAGUCCCAGCUGGAUGUGCACAAUGAAGACCUUGCUCCUGUUGCUCAGGUCUUCCUAGUGUUCCAGAACUUUCAGCAAGCACCCAGCAAGCCUGUAAGAGGGCUGCUCUGCAGGAGGAAGGCUGAUGCAUUUCCAUUCCCACUUUUGCAGAAUCUAUCCAUUGGCAGGCACCAACCAAAACCUGCAUGUCUUCAGGAUUUAUUUUAACUUCGGUAAAAUAUCAAGGUAAUAUAACACAGUUCAGCUCCCUAUGAUGACAUGAUGCAAUUCGCAGACCCUACUUCCUUAUACAGGAGAAGAAAGCACCGACAGGGGAAAAGAACGUUUUACAAACUCUCCAUCAAAGAACAGGUGGUUUCCAAGUCAAUACCUAGGUGAUUACCCAUCUGUGAAGUGAGCAAGGCUCCCAUCAUCAGCUAGCUAGAACUCCACAAGGAGUGCCACACUUUGUAAAAAGUGGGGCUUACAAAUAAGGCAUGUGACUUAGGUCUAAAGGAACAUGCAGAAUAAAUCAUCAUGAACCAGCUUGGUAGACUGAAUUUCUACAGACUGGAAGCACUGCCACAAUGCUCUUUGCCCUUCCAUUUGCACAGGUGCAAACAAUUCAUAUGCUUGCAGUCAUUCAUUCACUCAACAAACAUUUACUCAUCACCUAGUAGAUAUCAUACAUUGGGCUAGCCACAGAGUCUAGACUACAAGCUAUACUUUCACUAUGACAAAAGUCAUCUGCCUUCAAGUGGCACACAUGGAGAAAGCUAAUAUCUGAAAUGAUAAUAAUGCUUUUUAAAAGCCUCUUCUGGUUACUCAAAGCAUACCGAUCUUUAUUUGAGUAAUCGACUUUGUGUUCUAGGAAUCUAAAGACUGGAAGCUCCCUAAAGACAGAGGCUGCUUUUUGUUCACUGCCCUUCAUGUCCUUAUAACCAAUAUAUGCCAACUGAAUGCAAAUAAAAUAGAAAACAAACGUUUCUAUUCUUUCAAGAUCUUCGGCUUUACUGUUUCUGAAGGCUCUGCCACCAAAGAAAAAUGAUGAAGUUCCAGAAAGAAGGAAACAGGGGAUUAAUUUAGAUAUAUUAAGAACAACAUGAGCACAAUUUUGGAACUUCAGCCCAAGUGCAACCACCACUCAGCAGGCUGAGAUGCCUCCAACAGCCACAGCUGGCGGUCCUCUUAGAAUGCUUUCCCCUUCCCUCUUCUAACUCUCCUAUGAAAAAAACCCAUUUGCAGUCCUAAAGAAAGGAGGGGUGGGAGGAAUUAGAAGGGGAAGACACAGCUUGAACCCACACGCAUCAAGAAGGAAGGAAAUCCUAAGCAGAAAGGCUUGGGGGCUGGGCUAGCCUAAGGAAGGAGAUGUGUAAGGCUGAAGUGGAGGACAUGCCUGGACAAUUUUCCUUCCUUACAAGGCCUCUUUUUUCCCCUUUCCUCUUUUUUUUUUUUUUUUUUAAUUUGAUGAAAUAACAGUCUUCAGAACUGGAGAGAACUGGAGUAGAAAAGGGAAGCGAGUAAGGUGAGGAAGAAGUUGGUGAGAGAGACCUACAGCUCCCCUCGAGGUGCAUUCCCAAUCUGGCACCGAACCUGCAUUUUAGAAGUUUUCCUUCAAGUCACCCCCACGUAGCCUAGAGUUCCAGAAGCCUGAGGGCCCAGGUUGACCCAAAGGAGAGAUCUCCCUACGGAAGCAUACUAGGCCUGUCCUGCAAUAAGGCAUCAAGAGCCAAUGAAGGUUUUGAGCAAGGAAGUGACACGUUUAGAAGUGAUUAAGCAGUUUCGUAGUGACUGCAUAGAAACUGGACUCUAGCGCCAAGUUGCCAGGAUUUGACUCCUAACUCUAUCACUAAUUAUUUGUAUAGCUGUGGACACGUUACUUUACUUCUUUCUCUGUUUCUAUAAAACAGUUACGGAGGAAAGGCUAUGUGAACUAUACAGCAAGGAGGCAGACAUCUGCAAGACAAGAAGAGCACUCUCACUGCAAUCCAACCAUGCUGGCAACCUGAUCUUAGACUUCCAGCCUCCAGAACUGUGACAAAAUAAAUUUGUCGUUUAAGCCA